GGACCAAGGAGUCUAGCAUGUGCGCGAGUCAUUGGGACUCUAACUAAACCUAAAGGCGCAAUGAAAGUGAAGGUCCGCCAUGCGCGGACCGAGGGAGGAUGGACGGUCUCAAGGGACCGCCCCGCACUCCCGGGGCGUCUCGUUCUCNCGUUCGAGAAGAGGCGCACCCAGAGCGUACACGCUGGGACCCGAAAGAUGGUGAACUAUGCCUGGUCAGGACGAAGUCAGGGGAAACCCUGAUGGAGGUCCGUAGCGAUUCUGACGUGCAAAUCGAUCGUCGGAACUGGGUAUAGGGGCGAAAGACUAAUCGAACCAUCUAGUAGCUGGUUCCCUCCGAAGUUUCCCUCAGGAUAGCUGGCGCUCGCUUCUCGCGAGUCUCAUUCGGUAAAGCGAAUGAUUAGAGGCAUUGGGGUCGAAACGGCCUCAACCUAUUCUCAAACUUUAAAUGGGUGAGAUCUCCGGCUUGCUUGAACUGUGAAGCCGCGAGAUAUCGGAUCAGAGUGCCAAGUGGGCCACUUUUGGUAAGCAGAACUGGCGCUGUGGGAUGAACCAAACGCUGAGUUAAAGCGCCUAAAUCGACGCUUAUGGGAUACCAUGAAAGGCGUUGGUAACUUAAGACAGCAGGA
rnacentral:rRNA from 1 species